rnacentral:lncRNA from 1 species
GUACUUUAGCCUCCAAACCUUGUUGCACCUCUUGUCCAAAACUAGGAAGCUGUUUCUUUCAUCAGUAUGGAUUCCUUUGUGCCACAAGUCCUUUUUAACCUUCAUCUCCUUACCCUUUUUUCGUUUUCUUUUCUUUCUCUUGGUUUUUGGAAUAAAGAUGGGAGUCUUUCCAUUCAAGGUGGCUAAUGGCAAUGGUGAGAGUCGAGAGGGCCUUCCUGUAUCUUUCUCUGAUGUUGGUAUGUUAAUUUGCCUUCUCGCCUCUGUCCUGAUUAAGCCUACUUG